rnacentral:rRNA from 1 species
GACGAACGCUGGCGGCGUGCCUAAUACAUGCAAGUCGAACGCAGUGGGGACGGGUGAGUAACACGUGGGUAACCUCCCAUCAGAGGGGAUAACACUUGGAAACAGGUGCUAAACCGAUACUGAUGGAUGGACCUGCGGUGCAUUAGCUAGUUGGUGAGGUAACGGCUCACCAAGGCCAUGAUGCAUAGCCUACCUGGUAGAGUGUACGGCCACCCUGGGACUAAGACCCGGCCCAGACUCCGACGGGAGGCAGCAGUAGUGAAUCUUCGGCAAUGGACGAAAGUAUGGCCGAGAAACGCCGCGUAAGUUAAGAAGGUUUUCGGAUCGUAACACUCUGUUGUUAGAGGAGCGGUAUCUAACCAGAACGCCACGGCUAACUACGUGCCAGCAGCCGCGGUAAUAC